GCUGGCAGGUCCCCCCCCCAGCACCAGCAUCCCCCCCAGGAGGAUGCCCUGCGAGGCUGGCAGGUGUCCUUUUUUGCCCUGCAUCCAGGGCUUCCAGCAAGCAUCCUUCCCAUGCUAACCCUGGUUCUCCCGUCCUGCCUCUCCAGCCCAGGUGUCAUUGCUCAGGCCCUGAGCAUGGGCUGCCCCUCGCUAGUUUUUUUUCCAAAAGCAGAAGGGACAAUCAGUGUCUUGCGUUCAGGGACAGCGUGUGAUCGGCAGCUCCGUGUCUGUGACUUAACCCUGCUGCAAGACUUGGAAACGGCAGCUUGUAAUUAAAACAUAUAGGCGCAUAUUUCUGGCUAAUUUGAACAGAGUUGGGUUUUUUUCCCACUGAUAAAAGCAGAUCCUGUUUAUACUGGUUUCCUCCCAGUGACCCUACUCUCCUGCCUCCAUACGUUGCAAUGGGGACUGACCCCAGUGUUGAACAGGGGCUCUCCCUCUGCUCCUUUCUACUGUACACAGGAAAUAUUUCCUUGGAGUGUGUUUAUCCAUGAUUUUUCAACUCUUCUUUCUUAAAAAAAAAUGAUUUUAAAGGGCAGUCCAAGUGGACAGUGAGGUGAUUUAACUGUUGCUCUGUCAGAGCACGGGAGAUCCGUUGAUUCACUGAAUAUGAGAGUGGACAAAAAACCAUAACAGUAUAUUUAUUCCCUUAUUUUCCUUGACAGUCACUGCAGGAAAUGGCACAUUUCUCAUCUUCCUUAUAUCUUUCAUGCACUUUUCUCUUCCUUAAGAUUUCACCCUCCUUCCUAGACCUGGGUUUUUGACCCUGCUGGGAACAUGCAAAGUAGAGCAACUGGAAAAUACAAGCAAACAGAAACAAGUACUGUACAAGGAAUAUGUUCAAAAGGAUGGUUGUCUUAAAAAAACCCACCCAUCAAACCCUUUAAAUUUUUUUUAAUGUGAACUGAAAAAAAAAAAAAAAAAGAAAAGCCCAAACACCCAACACUUGAGGUCAAAUUACUCAUUUUCCUUAUGUUUUGAUGAAAACAUGUCAACCACCAAAAUGAAGUAUCGCUUCUUACUGGGAUGCUAAACUCAGCAUGGGAUGAUCUCAACCCAUGGAAUUUUGUAGCUGUAUCUUUGCAGCUACACAGAUUGCUGUCUAGAUAAAUAUAUCUCAUCUAAUCUACCCAGUGACAUACAGAGAUAAAGAAAACAUGUGCCUUUCUCCGAAGUUAAGGCUGGACUGAGCUUCUCAUGCACAGCAGGAUUUUAACCACCUUUUUUGUCACAAAAGAAAGGUUUUUCCCAAAUGACGUGGUAGGAAAUGUCAGUAGGGUGAAGAUUGCAUCCGCCUUCCAUCUCGCCCUCCCUGGGUGAGCUCUCCUCCUCUCCUGACCUCUCCAAAGCCAACUUGCCCACGUUGCCGAGAGGCUUGAGCUGGCCUGGACUGCAGGGUUCGAAUGGGAUGCAGGGAUGGGAUAGCUGAGCUGAAGGUGCACUUUUUUUUGGGGGGGGGGGGGGGUAAGGCUGGGGGUUGUCACCUCGUGUGCUGCUCAGGGCUGACGGACCUGCCCCAACCAUGCAUAAAUUCUUUGGGGUUGCACUGAUGCCUUUGGCCUCCCAAGCAGGGCAGGGAGGGAGCACGUCCCAUGCUGUCAUUGCGGCUCAGCUAAUGAACAUCAACUCAUUAAGAUCCAGUUACCUCGUUGCUUUCCAUCUGUCUCCUUGUUUCAGUCUAAACCAGGGCUAUUACGGUUAAUUUAAACCAAUGAAGAACAGGUUUAUACUAAUGCUCGUAAACCCGAAUGGAAGUGUUCGAGUAGGUCUGCAUGGAGGAACUGAAGGGCUUGAAGUAAACACAGACGGAGAUCUGCGAGCACCCGGGACCUUGCCAAUCUGUUGGGUUUGAGCUGGAAGGACGUACAGCGCCUUCCCCUCUUGACGUAUUACAUCUCUUUCCUCCCUUUUUUAAAAGUUUUUUUACCAGUUUGGGCAGAGUUUAUCCUAGGACUUGGGUAGUGCCAUAUAGUGCUGUGAACAGGGCUUUUUAAAUUAAAAGAAAGACACGUACACCUGAUGAACAGUGUUUGUCACGCUGUAAUUGCAAGUUACGCCUGACUCUUGAAAAGGAAAGGCAUUUUUUUUUCAGCGCAGAAGACCACAGCUUAAAGGAUUUUGAUCAACGUUUGCAUGUACUCCAGAUUUACGCGAGGUACACCACGGAGAGCGGUGCCCUGGGUACACCCUUGCUCUGCAAAGGAAAAUUAGCCGCGGUGGAGCUGCCUGCAGCAUCUCUCGGGUCCAGAGCUGGGAGAGAUGGAUCCUGCUCGCAUUCAGUGCAGAACAGAGCUGAAAUGAUAAUAUUUAAGUGAUUGUAAAGGUGGGCUUGCCUUGCCUUGGGGAGGACAUCACAAAAUCCUCUAGGAAGCCGGGAUCGGUCUUUGCUACAUGUCCCUCUGAGGCCAUGUCCAGCUGGAGGUUAGUUAGCUCUGCUCGCUCCUGUGUCCAGCUGACCCCAGGUCUUCAAGCAUAUUAAAAAACGGGCUAGAAGUGAUUGCAAGGGAUGAUUCAAACCUGUACUGCUGUCCCUUUUGGUGCUCAACGCGGGGCUCUUGAGAAAAUCAAGAUAAGGACCGCAACUGGGAGAGGUGAUGGGGAAAACAUGGACUGGACACUGCCAAAGAGCAUUAGAGUUGUGGGAAAUUUUUCUUUUAAUUGUGGCUAAAGAACGAGGGGUGGAGUGUGCAUAAAUUGUCCACCUUUGUCGGUGUUGUGAUGAUGUUAUUUUGACUUUGGUGGGGGAAUUCUUUUUGUGAGGGUUGUGAAGAUCGUGUGAAGAAUGUAUAUUUUAAUGGUAUUGUUGUAUUGUUGCAAUUUUAGUUGAAGUCUAGGAAGAUCAGGCUAGGCUUUGAAUGUUUAUGUCUUAAUUAAUGAGACGAGGAGGAUAAGGAGAGGAAAUAGCUUUUAUUAGCUGAUUGAUAAAGUGCAAUGGAAGUGCUGUUACAGAGCCUGGCUGUGAUUAACAGUGAAGACUCUCAGGAGCAGAAAUUCCUUUGGCUUCCUGGGCGCAAGAGCUGACACAGCAAGUGGAGGGAAGCGAGGCUGAAGCUAACAGGAGCCCCUCCGAACUCAAAACGAGAGGUGGCAUGAAACAAGGUGGCAAAGCAUCUUUCAGGCCAUCAGCAAUCGGUGCCCAUCGACAUGCACGGGCUACAGGCAUUUCGGAAGGAGCAAGCCUCCACCCCAAAUCUCAGACACAGCCUAAGACAGUGGAUGGGAGCCAAGGAAAGAUGCCAGGUUUUUUUGUGUUCAAGGAGAAGAGUUCUGAGUGCCACGCUGAUAUCUGGGCAGCCAAGGCAGGUGGGAUGGGUAGAUAGAACAAGCAGAUAAGUGUGGUUUAUAGGGCUGGUUGGACGUGUUUGUUAUUUCAGUGGGAAUGUUGAUGUGUUCAAAAUGAAGCAUUCCUCAGGGAUGUUCUUUUUUUGUUUUUUUUUUCUCUGUUAAGAGCCAUAUAAUAAAGUACUUAAAUACCAAGAAGAACAUUUUAGAUCCGCAUUUCAAACCACUUUUUUUCAGGGGGGGAACGAGUAAAACAUAAGGCCGAUUACUUCAGAAAUUACUAACAGAAUUAGCAAUUAGCAGAACAAUUGCUAAUGAUGAUGUAAAAAGAGCAGUCACUGAUGUAUAAAAUAAAAUAAAUAACAGCUUAAAAGAUAAA